UUGAAAGAUUGCGGCGGUUUUCAGCUCUUGCGAUCCAGAGGAUCAACACGUUCCAAAAAAUUAGAGACAAUACCCUGUCCAGAUGAUGGGUAUUCCCCUGAGUACCUCUUAAGUGAGUCUGUCAUGGUUGGGCAGGCUCUCAUAUAUAUCAGGCCACUCCAGAAAGAUAUAGAUCUGCAGGUAGGUAGGAAAAGGUUAAAAUCUCUGGUUAGUAAUAAUACUCUGGAUGUUGAGAAAGUUUAAACUACCAAAAUUAAGUGAUACACUAGUUUUAAAUAAAGUGAUUUAGGAUAUCCCUAAAUUAAUAUUUCUUUGUAUAAGCUAACCCUACUAUCUAUCUGCUAAUGUGACUUUUUAUGUUCUUACAAUGAUUCAGAUUCUUGAGAGUGACCAGCCUAUAUCAUCUGGACCACUGACAGAAUGCCUGUACUGCAAUGAGAAGUAUAGCCUAUCAGAAAUACAAGACCAUGUUGAUGUUUGCGAAAAGUUUCAUGAGUCAUGCAAAGUGAUAUCAGAUAGCACUGGCAGUACAAGACAGGAAGAAAUGGCAGCAACCAUGUCAGAGGAUAAUGCUGAAAGGGAGGAAAGGGCCUCAACAUCACUCAAUACUGUUUUCUCAGCCAGUACCAGCCCAUCAGCGGAGCCUGCCACUGAAGGUGUCUCUAUCGAAUUGACCAUACCACUGAGCACACCUUUCUCUGUAUUAGCUUUUUUUAGCAUACAAAUCAUUUUUCUCAUACUACAAAACAACAGGACUAUCAGGGAUGUUAAUUAUAUCACAGUUAAUCAUAUCUUUUUGAAGAAUUGUUAUCACUAAUCUGUGUUUUCAUAGAGUGGAAGAUUGAUCCGGAUCUUGAAUCAGCUGCCCGGA
rnacentral:lncRNA from 1 species